UGUGUGUUAGUGGAAGCGUCUGGAAAGGCGCGCGAUACAGGGUGACAGCCCCGUACACAAAAAUGCACAUGCUGUGAGCUCGAUGAGUAGGGCGGGACACGUGGUAUCCUGUCUGAAUAUGGGGGGACCAUCCUCCAAGGCUAAAUACUCCUGACUGACCGAUAGUGAACCAGUACCGUGAGGGAAAGGCGAAAAGAACCCCGGCGAGGGGAGUGAAAAAGAACCUGAAACCGUGUACGUACAAGCAGUGGGAGCACGCUUAGGCGUGUGACUGCGUACCUUUUGUAUAAUGGGUCAGCGACUUAUAUUCUGUAGCAAGGUUAACCGAAUAGGGGAGCCGAAGGGAAACCGAGUCUUAACUGGGCGUUAAGUUGCAGGGUAUAGACCCGAAACCCGGUGAUCUAGCCAUGGGCAGGUUGAAGGUUGGGUAACACUAACUGGAGGACCGAACCGACUAAUGUUGAAAAAUUAGCGGAUGACUUGUGGCUGGGGGUGAAAGGCCAAUCAAACCGGGAGAUAGCUGGUUCUCCCCGAAAGCUAUUUAGGUAGCGCCUCGUGAAUUCAUCUCCGGGGGUAGAGCACUGUUUCGGCAAGGGGGUCAUCCCGACUUACCAACCCGAUGCAAACUGCGAAUACCGGAGAAUGUUAUCACGGGAGACACACGGCGGGUGCUAACGUCCGUCGUGAAGAGGGAAACAACCCAGACCGCCAGCUAAGGUCCCAAAGUCAUGGUUAAGUGGGAAACGAUGUGGGAAGGCCCAGACAGCCAGGAUGUUGGCUUAGAAGCAGCCAUCAUUUAAAGAAAGCGUAAUAGCUCACUGGUCGAGUCGGCCUGCGCGGAAGAUGUAACGGGGCUAAACCAUGCACCGAAGCUGCGGCAGCGACGCUUAUGCGUUGUUGGGUAGGGGAGCGUUCUGUAAGCCUGUGAAGGUGUGCUGUGAGGCAUGCUGGAGGUAUCAGAAGUGCGAAUGCUGACAUAAGUAACGAUAAAGCGGGUGAAAAGCCCGCUCGCCGGAAGACCAAGGGUUCCUGUCCAACGUUAAUCGGGGCAGGGUGAGUCGACCCCUAAGGCGAGGCCGAAAGGCGUAGUCGAUGGGAAACAGGUUAAUAUUCCUGUACUUGGUGUUACUGCGAAGGGGGGACGGAGAAGGCUAUGUUGGCCGGGCGACGGUUGUCCCGGUUUAAGCGUGUAGGCUGGUUUUCCAGGCAAAUCCGGAAAAUCAAGGCUGAGGCGUGAUGACGAGGCACUACGGUGCUGAAGCAACAAAUGCCCUGCUUCCAGGAAAAGCCUCUAAGCAUCAGGUAACAUCAAAUCGUACCCCAAACCGACACAGGUGGUCAGGUAGAGAAUACCAAGGCGCUUGAGAGAACUCGGGUGAAGGAACUAGGCAAAAUGGUGCCGUAACUUCGGGAGAAGGCACGCUGAUAUGUAGGUGAAGUCCCUCGCGGAUGGAGCUGAAAUCAGUCGAAGAUACCAGCUGGCUGCAACUGUUUAUUAAAAACACAGCACUGUGCAAACACGAAAGUGGACGUAUACGGUGUGACGCCUGCCCGGUGCCGGAAGGUUAAUUGAUGGGGUCAGCGCAAGCGAAGCUCUUGAUCGAAGCCCCGGUAAACGGCGGCCGUAACUAUAACGGUCCUAAGGUAGCGAAAUUCCUUGUCGGGUAAGUUCCGACCUGCACGAAUGGCGUAAUGAUGGCCAGGCUGUCUCCACCCGAGACUCAGUGAAAUUGAACUCGCUGUGAAGAUGCAGUGUACCCGCGGCAAGACGGAAAGACCCCGUGAACCUUUACUAUAGCUUGACACUGAACAUUGAGCCUUGAUGUGUAGGAUAGGUGGGAGGCUUAGAAGUGUGGACGCCAGUCUGCAUGGAGCCGACCUUGAAAUACCACCCUUUAAUGUUUGAUGUUCUAACG
rnacentral:rRNA from 1 species